rnacentral:rRNA from 1 species
UACGUAGGGACCAAGCGUUGUUCGGAUUUACUGGGCGUAAAGGGCGCGUAGGCGGCUUAACAAGUCACUUGUGAAAUCUCCGGGCUUAACUCGGAACGGCCAAGUGAAACUGUUAUGCUAGAGUGCAGAAGGGGCAAUCGGAAUUCUUGGUGUAGCGGUGAAAUGCGUAGAUAUCAAGAGGAACACCUGAGGUGAAGACGGGUUGCUGGGCUGACACUGACGCUGAUGCGCGAAAGCUAGGGGAGCAAACGGG